AAUCAACGCUGGCGGCGUGCCUCAGACAUGCAAGUCGAACGCGAAAGUCCCCUUCGGGGGACAAGUAGAGUGGCGCACGGGUGAGUAACACGUAGGUAAUCCACCUUCGGAUGGGGAAUAACAACCGGAAACGGUUGCUAAUACCGCAUAAUGCAGCGGCACCUAAUGGUGACAGUUGUUAAAGCGGGGGAUCGAAAGACCUCGCGUCUGAAGAGGAGCCUGCGGCGGAUUAGCAGUUGGUAAGGUAACGGCUUACCAAGGCGACGAUCCGUAGCCGGCCUGAGAGGGCGGUCGGCCACACUGACACUGACAUACGGGUCAGACUCCUACGGGAGGCAGCAGUCGGGAAUUUUGGGCAAUGGGCGAAAGCCUG
rnacentral:rRNA from 1 species